rnacentral:rRNA from 1 species
UGGGCAACCUGCCCCCUAGCUCUGGGAUAACUGCGGGAAACUGUAGCUAAUACCGGAUACUCCGGCUGGAUCGCAUGGUCCGGCCGGGAAAUGUCCGCCGGAGAGGGAUGGGCCCGCGGCCUAUCAGCUUGUUGGUGGGGUGAUGGCCUACCAAGGCGACGACGGGUAGCCGGCCUGAGAGGGUGUCCGGCCACACUGGGACUGAGACACGGCCCAGACUCCUACGGGAGACA